GUGUCUAGCUACAUAGUAUCUUAUUUCAGUAUCUCAAGUUAAUGCUUUUGGGGCAAAACUAUCUACUCUACACUGAGUGUCUAUCUUUGUGUUUGUUUGGAGACCCAGCAUUUCUGUGAUGUCUUAUUCAUACUGGUUGAGACAAGUCUAUGAUAAAAUCUAAUCCAACUGAGAAAUGGCAGCUAAAGAGAAGCUGAGAGCAAAGGCAGCUACUAAGAAGCAAUAACUGCCCAACCCGCUGCCCAACGACAGAAGGCUCAGAAGAAUGUCAAGCAGAUGGCUGCCAAGCCUCGUGUGGGAGGCAAGCGAUAAGCUUGGCACUGCUCUGUAAAUUACCCUAAUAAAACUCUGCUCAAAA